rnacentral:rRNA from 1 species
GGGUCAGUAGGUUGGUCGUGCCACCGGUACGUACUGGUCUCACUGAUUCCUCCUUCCUGAAGAACCGUAAUGCCAUUAAUUUGGUGUUGCGGGGAAACAGGACCGUUACUUUGAAAAAAUUAGAGUGUUUAAAGCAGGCUAACGCUUGAAUACAUUGGCAUGGAAUAAUGAAAUAGGACGAUCGAUCCUAUUUUGUUGGUUUCUAGGAUUGACGUA